AGCUUUGUGCAGUGGCAGUAUCAUAGCCAAUGAGGUUUAUCCGAGGUGAGAUUACUGCUAAUUGAAAACUUAAAGUGUACAUCAUGGUGAUUUGAUAUAUGUGUACAUUAUGAAAGGACUGCUCCCACCUAAUUAAUUAACACAUACAUCAUCUCACAUAUUUAUUUAU
rnacentral:snRNA from 1 species